rnacentral:lncRNA from 1 species
GAUAUCCCUUGGUCAGAUAACCGCAGUACAGUCUGCAUUCUAGACACUCCUACCCAGCAGACUGGGCCAAGCGUGGAUGUCACCUGGGACCUCAUCUUUACUCAACCCAUUUCUUCCCAGGACUUGCUUCCCUCACUCCAUUAAUUACAGGCUCCAAACCCUGACCCCGGUUCUGCCUCCCAAGAAGCUGAAUGAAGAUGGCAGAGGGUGUUCACAGAGGUGUCCUGGGUCUACACGGAUACCCGACAACGUCAUAUCCACCCUGCCAGGCAAUCCAUCAGCCGUUCUCAGAAUACAGCAAGCUCAUUUCCACCCCAGGGCCUUCAGCGUGGGGGACAGAAGAGACACACCAAAAGCUGGAGCAGGACUGGCCUCUCCAGGCCAUGUAGUUCACACUAACCUCCUGCUAGGGUCUGGAUCUGGAACAGCCUUCAAAGGUCACGUGUUCAAUGCUUGGCGCUACUGGGGGGGGUGGAACCUUUAAGAGGCGGUCCUUGUGGGAGGGGAGAGGUCAUGGGGGCGUGGCCUCGAGGGUGAUGAACUCAGCCCCUCCCCUUUCGGUUU